rnacentral:rRNA from 1 species
UACUCCUACGGGAGGCAGCAGUAGGGAAUCUUCGGCAAUGGACGGAAGUCUGACCGAGCAACGCCGCGUGAGUGAAGAAGGUUUUCGGAUCGUAAAGCUCUGUUGUAAGAGAAGAACGAGUGUGAGAGUGGAAAGUUCACACUGUGACGGUAUCUUACCAGAAAGGGACGGCUAACUACGUGCCAGCAGCCGCGGUAAUACGUAGGUCCCGAGCGUUGUCCGGAUUUAUUGGGCGUAAAGCGAGCGCAGGCGGUUAGAUAAGUCUGAAGUUAAAGGCUGUGGCUUAACCAUAGUACGCUUUGGAAACUGUUUAACUUGAGUGCAAGAGGGGAGAGUGGAAUUCCAUGUGUAGCGGUGAAAUGCGUAGAUAUAUGGAGGAACACCGGUGGCGAAAGCGGCUCUCUGGCUUGUAACUGACGCUGAGGCUCGAAAGCGUGGGGAGCAAACAGGAUUAGAUACCCUGGUAGUCCACGCCGUAAACGAUGAGUGCUAGGUGUUAGACCCUUUCCGGGGUUUAGUGCCGUAGCUAACGCAUUAAGCACUCCGCCUGGGGAGUACGAUCGCAAGGUUGAAACUCAAAGGAAUUGACGGA